rnacentral:lncRNA from 1 species
AUCCUCUUCUUCUUCUUCUUCUUCUUCUUCUUCUCCUUCUUCUCCUUCUUCUUCUCCUCCUCCUCCUCCUCCUUCUUCUUCUUCUUUUUCUUCUUCUCCUUCUCCUCUUUCUUCUUCUCCUUAGCUUAUUUUCCCAAACAAAAUCAUACUUACCUAAUUAUCCUCCAAAAUGACAUAAUUAGCUAAUUUAGCUCCAAAAUGAC